UAAGAAUCUCCUGAUUGUAUAUUGAAUAUUUUUGGCUUUUGGACAGAUUAAUCGAUAAUGAAAAUACUCAUUAGUUGCGGCCCUAAAUAUUUUUGCGAUUCUUGUGAUGCUGUUUUUAUUUUAGGAGCCUUUCUAACUGUGGAAGCAACAAGUUAGACAGCUAGGCCGAGGCACAGGUGGGGAGAUAUGGUUGCAGCUCUUGUGAACGAACAUAGACUUUCACAUUUUCUGUUGCUUCUGAGGUUUAGCCAUGUCAAAUUUUUGACACAGAGCAGACUGAUGUGCUAACUACUGUGUGGUUCUGGGGAGAGCUUUACUAUACUGUACCUGCCCAGCUGCUGCAGUUGUCUCGUUCCGGUCUGAAAGGGGCUUAAAGCUUCCUCCAGCAACGUCAUCUUCGGUCUCUUCGCCUCUGCCAUGAUAUCCGUAGAGGCUGCUGAGCCCGGUUAUGUUGCUUGCUCUCCCGGAUUCUGGCACGACACCGGCUCUGCUCCCCAUCAGCAUUCUCCGCUGGCUCCCCCUUGCCCCGGUCCUGAAAACCUCCUCCUUCGGUGGUCCAAAGCUCCUGUGCUCGCGGUUUAAACACCAACACUCCUCCGGUGCUCCGUGCUGCUAACUGAGCUAACUAGCUGACAGCAGUUAGUAGCAGUUAGAGAUGAACUUACUUUAGCAACAAGUAAAGCUUUCUGUCCAUCAGGAAACUCUGUAAAUCCCCGAGAGUCAAGGCAGAGCAGCCGGAGGACUCAGAGGGAAAACCAGAAAAGAUUUUAUCCAUAAAAUAUGAUCCAGUUUGGCCCACUCGGGAUAGAUGUCGCUGAAAUCCCUGAUAAGGACUUUGCAGGCCGUUAAGAAAUUCAAGCCUCCAUAACCGCAGAGCAUUGUCAUCACAGCGAUGGCAUCUCUCUUCGCCGUCCAGGGAGAUUUAAAUAUGUCAGACUUCAACAGAUUUUGCCGGUAAAAAAAAACGGUUACCGGAUAACAGAAACCCUUGGUAAAAAGAGAGGAUCUGUAGGAAAACAAGCUCAAGUUUUGCUGCAACGUAAUGUGAGGUUGUCCAGCAAGGCACUGCGUUGGCCAAUCAAAUACAUGCAGCACACAUUCCUGGUAGAUGACUUUUUAAUGUGAAUGCCGUAUUUCUGCUUUUUACCUCAUGAUUAUCGCGACGAAAGAUAAAAUAGUUGCCGCUAUGAUAACUUUCCAGUUGUAAAAUCCUAUCUGAGUAUUACAAACCGUUGUGCAGUGUUUUGGGCGAUAAGUCUUUAAACGCACAAAUCUGUUACUCCAACUGGACUUCUGGGUCGUAUUUCAUUGUCUACUUUAAAACAACACACCCUCACCAACGCAGCCCCCUAUGAAUCCUCGCUAACCUCCUAUCAGUCUGUGGUUGCACUUGCAGAUGUGACUGUGUGUAACUAUUUGAGUGUGAACAGUUUACCAACUUUAGUAGGGCUGUAUUAAAAUUUAUUGACACAAAUUCAUAGUGAACAUCCUAAUUAACACUAAGGGUGGGAAUGUCCACCAGAAGCAACGCUUACAAAGCAUUUUUUGUAGAUACACCUUGACCUUUUUAAACUCAUCGACUUGAAACACUCAAUUAGGAUGGCAUGAGCUGUUGACAAGAAAAACGGCAAGUCAUUACAUCUCAAACAUGACAACCCCUGAGCGCACUUACAAACAAGGAUUGUUAAUUCCUGUGUCUAGAUUAAAAACACCUGUUGGUAAACAAGACAAUUAUUCAUUUCAGUCCAAUGGGGAGCGGUGCGUUAAUCAUACAUGCAUCCUCCCCUGUUAAAAGGCAACCUGAUAUUCCCCCACAGAAUUCUCACUGAUUAACUCGAUACUCCUGACUGUUUAAAAUUCAUCCCACCAAUGAGCACGAAACUGAUCUCCUCUGUGUUCGUUUGUAUAUAUAUGUGUGUGUGUGUGUGUGUGCGUGCGUGUGUGUAUACAAUUGUGUUCUUUCCCCAAGAUCCUGCAAAGUGUAUGCAUAAAAUAUCCCAGUCCCUGGCGUCAGCACAAUUAGCUGUUAAAUAAAAUACCUACUCAUUGACGCUUUUGCAGCAUUUUAAUUAGACAAACCAGCUGAAGUGAGGGCCCGUUUUAGUAAAAUAAACAGCCCUGUUUGCCAAGAAAAAGCUCCCUGGAGGGAAAGGCACUAAGUGAGGUUGCUUGGGGCAGAAAAUGGAGAGAUAGCAUCAGUUUACCCGAGGAGCUAAAAGAUGUUUGUUUCUUGGAAAACGAGAACAUGUUUGAACACUUCCUUAAGCCACCUGUGUUUCGAAGUACCUUUUUCAUCUUUGUACUACAAUGUGUCAGUAGAUUCUUUAUGCAUCUGCCUCAGUGUUAUAUCUGAAAUAAUGUCAAUCUGGUUCAUGACUGUUAAGGUCCUUGUGUACUUUUUGAUACUUAGAUUACAUUACAAGGUUCUGAGGAAUAAUGAGGUCUCUCAGUGUUAACAAAUAUCUAAAAAAUCUAACAAAUGUAUGAGAAAGCUGAGUUGUGUGUAACAAUAUUUAUAUAUUAUAAUAUACUAUUUAAUAUACUUGAAGACUUGAAGGAAGGCCCAGAAAGUGAAAUAGUUUUUUCUUUAAUCCAAGGAAGGGGUUCUAAUUAUAUGGUCAGCUAAUUGCUUUUUAAUUUACUAUGUAUUGUUUUUACUGUGUUUAUAUUAAUUGUUUACAUGCAGGCAGCUACACAGACGUCCUUCUUGACACUGAAGCUGAAUUUGGGUUUAAUUGCGGAAGUCAGUUUGAAAUGCCUGCAUGUUUGAAGCCAAAAGAAGUUUAAUAGUUUAAUGUGGAGAGAAUUAAUCAUGUAGAUUUUGAAAGAAAGUGUUGCACUCAACUUUUUUGCAAAAGAAAAAAGGUUACUAAUCUAAUCUAAUAGUCUAAUCUAGUCUAAUCAGGGGGAUUUUGAAUACAAGUUUGUGAGAAAGCUAAACCAAACAUGGCCACUGCUUUAGAGAGCAUCACUGAAUUGAGCUAUUAAUAGAAGGGAUGAAUUAAAUAAAUGAUAAUAUACAAGUUACAGUCAAGAUGCCAAAUUGGCCCUCUCACAGUGACAAUAUGUAAUUACAUUAUUUAUGGUGUCUUCAGAAAUGCUGCUUUUUUACUCGAGAAGUUGUCAUCACAUGUAAUCUUACGUGCACUUGAGUAAUAUUUAAAUCAAACAUUUGUGUAGGAUAUUCUAGUACUCUGUCCACCCCUGUCACCGCCUCCACCUAACAGAAUAUCAUGUUAAUGCUGUGUAACUCUGCUGAGCUGAAUUGAACUGAAAUGCACCGAAUUAGAGGAAGUCUAAUGUCUAGUAGAUAUUUUGAGAGAUUUGCUUGCUCUGCCGUAACAGCUCAGGUUGAUAUUCCUAAAACAGUUGCCAUAACAUUUUGUCUCCACCAGGAGCCAUGUGCCAUAUUCCAGGUUACAUUUCCUGUCCCAACAUCUGUUUUUUCACCAGUGUCUUGAGAGGUACCAGAGGCAAAAGACUGGAAAACUGACAUUAAACCCCUACAAAUGCUGGGUCUUCCAAACAUUUCUUUUCUUCUACUGUUCAGAUGCAUUUAAAACAUCUGUGGUGUAAAAUGUGUGCUCAGGUAGAGUAGUAGUAGCAGUAGUAGUGGUGCAUCACACAGUUUGUGUUCUCAUUGAUAAGACAUAAAGGUUUUCUUUCACACAUCAGGGAGUGGCUCUGCAUUGUGAUUUACUGUCAUGGUGCUUCUGAAUGAGAUUUCUCCUGCACUUACCCUCAUUACUCUUCUUCCUUCCUGCCCCUCGUCAUCUCGUCGUCCAACUGUGUCUCUGUGGCAAAGAAUGAAUAAAAUCCCCAUGUCUCUCUUUG